rnacentral:rRNA from 1 species
GGUGAAGCAGAGCUUGCUCUGUGGAUCAGUGGCGAACGGGUGAGUAACACGUGAGCAAUCUGCCCCUGACUCUGGGAUAAGCGCUGGAAACGGCGUCUAAUACCGGAUACGAGCUGCGAUCGCAUGGUCAGUAGCUGGAAAGAAUUUCGGUCAGGGAUGAGCUCGCGGCCUAUCAGCUUGUUGGUGAGGUAAUGGCUCACCAAGGCGUCGACGGGUAGCCGGCCUGAGAGGGUGACCGGCCACACUGGGACUGAGACACGGCCCAGACUCCUACGGGAGGCAGCAGUGGGGAAUAUUGCACAAUGGGCGGAAGCCUGAUGCAGCAACGCCGCGUGAGGGAUGACGGCCUUCGGGUUGUAAACCUCUUUUAGCAGGGAAGAAGCGAAAGUGACGGUACCUGCAGAAAAAGCGCCGGCUAACUACGUGCCAGCAGCCGCGGUAAUACGUAGGGCGCAAGCGUUAUCCGGAAUUAUUGGGCGUAAAGAGCUCGUAGGCGGUCUGUCGCGUCUGCUGUGAAAACCCGAGGCUCAACCUCGGGCCUGCAGUGGGUACGGGCAGACUAGAGUGCGGUAGGGGAGAUUGGAAUUCCUGGUGUAGCGGUGGAAUGCGCAGAUAUCAGGAGGAACACCGAUGGCGAAGGCAGAUCUCUGGGCCGUAACUGACGCUGAGGAGCGAAAGGGUGGGGAGCAAACAGGCUUAGAUACCCUGGUAGUCCACCCCGUAAACGUUGGGAACUAGUUGUGGGGUCCAUUCCACGGAUUCCGUGACGCAGCUAACGCAUUAAGUUCCCCGCCUGGGGAGUACGGCCGCAAGGCUAAAACUCAAAGGAAUUGACGGGGACCCGCACAAGCGGCGGAGCAUGCGGAUUAAUACGAUGCAACGCGAAGAACCUUACCAAGGCUUGACAUAUAGAGGAAACGGCUGGAAACAGUCGCCCCGCAAGGUCUCUAUACAGGUGGUGCAUGGUUGUCGUCAGCUCGUGUCGUGAGAUGUUGGGUUAAGUCCCGCAACGAGCGCAACCCUCGUUCUAUGUUGCCAGCACGUAAUGGUGGGAACUCAUGGGAUACUGCCGGGGUCAACUCGGAGGAAGGUGGGGAUGACGUCAAAUCA